rnacentral:sRNA from 1 species
AACUUGCUCGAGCAGGGCUGGGUAGACCGGCGCGCUCCCGGGGACGGUGGGGGGGGCAGUCCCGGUUUCGGCCAUCGCUGGGGUGGGCUCGGAGCGGCCGCACCGGGCAGCAACCCCACUCCCACUCGGAGGCCCCCUGCCCUCUCCCCCACUUCCCCCCGGCCCAUGGUGCGAGGCUGGGAGCCGCCGCCCGGGCUGGACUGCGUUCGGAGCCUUCUGGACUGCCUGUGAAAUGGAGGAUAGGAGAAACAUUUCCUUCCCAGCCCCCCCCGCCACACAAACCCCCAACCCCCACGGCUACCUCCUGGCGACCUCAACACACGUGCAGAACCUGGCCUUGCUUCUGGGGAUCAGUGGCCUUUGGGAAUGAAAGGUUUAGAAGAAACUGCCCCUCUGACUCCCGUACCCAGCCAUACUGAGAGAAACAACCAGGAAACUGAGAACCCGAGUCCUCUGGGGUUCCUAGUGUUGCGUCCUGUUCUGAGACUCCUAAACUGAAAGAAGACUCAAGCUGAGACCUGUUUGUAUUAACUACACAGGGAGUCUCAAACCUGGCUGUACGC